UGACAUCCACAGAACUUUCUAGAGAUAGAUUGGUGCCUUCGGGAACUGUGAGACAGGUGCUGCAUGGCUGUCGUCAGCUCGUGUUGUGAAAUGUUGGGUUAAGUCCCGUAACGAGCGCAACCCUUGUCCUUAUUUGCCAGCACGUAAUGGUGGGAACUCUAAGGAGACUGCCGGUGACAAACCGGAGGAAGGUGGGGACGACGUCAAGUCAUCAUGGCCCUUACGAGCGGGGCUACACACGUGCUACAAUGGCCAGGACAAACGGUUGCAACCCCGCGAGGGUGAGCUAAUCCGAGAAACCUGGUCGUAGUCCGGAUCGCAGUCUGCAACUCGACUGCGUGAAGUCGGAAUCGCUAGUAAUCGUGAAUCAGAAUGUCACGGUGAAUACGUUCCCGGGCCUUGUACACACCGCCCGUCACACCAUGGGAGUGGAUUGCACCAGAAGUAGCUAGCUUAACCUUCGGGAGGGCGGUUACCACGGUGUGGUUCAUGACUGGGGUGAAGUCGUAACAAGGUAACCA
rnacentral:rRNA from 1 species